CCAACCAUAGCUCAGUUGGUAGAGCGGAGGACUGUAGUGGUUAACAAGCUAUCCUUAGGUCGCUGGUUCAAAUCCGGCUGGUUGGA